ensembl:lncRNA
CUCAGGCCAGCUUGUACUUGGCAAGAUGGGAUCUGGGGCAGUGGAGUUUUACCAGGAUUGGGAAGUAGGAUGCUGGGGUUGAUGAGAGGAUCUAUGAGUCUGAGUUGUAAGGAGAACACAGCAAGUAUGUGUGAGAGCUGGGGAUCUGUGGGGGUCAAAGGUAGGAAUCCUGAAGCUUCACAUACUUGUGCUGAUUCCAAAGAGCUCCCUGACCCGCGAAGUGGAUUCUGAAAUCCUGAAUCACUUUCUGCUUGCUGAAAAUCCUCACUAUCUGAAUGAGAGUCUAUAUCAAAGCAGCUUUUCAUCAGAUUAUCUUUUUCAAUGUGUGCCACUGCUGACCUGAGAUAUUUUGGAAGAUAUUUGAAGUGAUACAAAGAGAUAAACCUCAAACCAGUACCACUGAGGUCAUUUGGGAAAGGUGCUCAGACCAGCGAGCUCUGAAAGCAAAGGAGACCUCCUUCACUUCUUGCAUUAAUCUGGUGUAAACCAUGUGAAGAAUCGCACACCAAUAAUUAGACCCAAGGAAAAAAUACUUCAGAUUUCUCAGCUGAUGCCCAGAUGCAUUUUGCACAGCAGCAGGGGUAGUGAUUGAUCCCUGUGGCCACUGCUAGCCUGGACAGGCCCCUGUCCCCAUUGGGAGCUCCGUGCCAGCAGCAGGCAGGGACAUGGCAGCACCAACACAGCUUCCUGAUGGGCAGCAAAGGGCUCAGAGCAGGCAGGGGCAAGUCCACGGGUCGAAGCUUGCAUUGGCAGCAAUUGCACCUGUCUGAAUGGCAUAAACAAGGGAUGUGCAGCCAUGUCCAGACUCCUAAAAAUAGCCUUUAUUAAUGUUGUGCACUCUUCUCAGUAGUCUGGGUGAAUCUUUCCAUACUGGUCCUAAAUUCGGUUUUCUUCCCAAAGUAAGCCUGGUAUAUGUCAAGGCCAGAGAUCACAUUGCAUACAUUUAAAAUGGUUGUCAGUAUUGAUUUGUUUACUUCUGAACAGCAGAGAAUUGUGAAAAGUUUGCUUUGAAUUCAUUCCUAUCUUACCUCUUUAAAUACCAGUAAAGGUGACAUUUCAAUGUGACCACACAAGUAAGUACAACUCAUUCUAUUUUGUUUUCUGCUUUACACACUUGAACAUCUCCAGCCUCAAACAUCGAGCCAAUAAUAUUUGGAAUAAGCACUUCCUCUGACUUCAGCAUCAAUAUGAGUGUUACUAGAAGGCAUGCCCUUCACAGACCAUUUCAACGUGAUA